rnacentral:rRNA from 1 species
GCCAGACUCCUACGGGAGGCAGCAGUGGGGGAUAUUGCACAAUGGGGGAAACCCUGAUGCAGCGACGCCGCGUGAGUGAAGAAGUAUUUCGGUAUGUAAAGCUCUAUCAGCAGGGAAGAAAAAAGACGGUACCUGACUAAGAAGCCCCGGCUAACUACGUGCCAGCAGCCGCGGUAAUACGUAGGGGGCAAGCGUUAUCCGGAUUUACUGGGUGUAAAGGGAGCGUAGACGGCAAUACAAGUCGGAAGUGAAAUACCCGGGCUCAACCUGGGAACUGCUUUGGAAACUGUAUGGCUGGAGUGCUGGAGAGGUAAGCGGAAUUCCUAGUGUAGCGGUGAAAUGCGUAGAUAUUAGGAGGAACACCAGUGGCGAAGGCGGCUUACUGGACUGUAACUGACGUUGAGGCUCGAAAGCGUGGGGAGCAAACAGGAUUAGAUACCCCCGUAC